AUACUUACCUGGAAGGGAAGAUAAAAUAAUCAAGAAGGCAGUUUUCCUGGUAUUAAACUUAUCCACUAUACUAGACAUGUUGAUGCUUGCAAUUUCCCUGAAUGUGAGGGACUUCCACUGCAAAUCUGUUGCAGUGAGGGACUGUGUCCAUGCCUUUC
ensembl:snRNA U1 U1 spliceosomal RNA